GCCAACGUGGUCUAGUGGUUUGAGCGUUGGGACUAUGAAUCCAAAGUCCAGGGUUCGAAUCCCGACUCGGCC